AGAAUCAACGCUGGCGGCGUGCCUAACACAUGCAAGUCGAACGGGAAAGUGGAGCAAUCCAUGAGUAAAGUGGCGCACGGGUGAGUAACACGUGACUAACCUACCCUUGAGUGGGGGAUAACCUAGGGAAACCUGGGCUAAUACCGCAUAAUACCUUCGGGUCAAAGGAGCAAUUCGCUUAAGGAGGGGGUCGCGGCCGAUUAGUUAGUUGGCGGGGUAAUGGCCCACCAAGACUGUGAUCGGUAU
rnacentral:rRNA from 1 species